AGAAAUGAGAUAGACGGAGAAGCAUAAGAACUUAAAACGCACGAUUAGUUGUUAAAAUAGAUUCUAUACACUUUGAUGGAGGACCAGGAAGACGGGGGAGCUUCACAUGCAGAUGGAGAUGGAACCGGGGCACUGGCAGGCCGUGCUGUCAUGGAGGAGGAAGAAAAGAACAAGAGCAUUAUGCCUAAGAAGAAUGAAACAAUAUUUUAAUGAUGGAAGCACUAAUUGUUACAGCCUGAAUCAUCACUAGCAGUGUCAGGAGUCUUAGAUGUCGCCCAGAGACUAGAUAUUUACAUCCCUAGGUCUGUGCCAAAAUGCCCCUGGCUACAAAAGACCAACAAACUGGUAGUAGGAGUAAGAAUAGUAGCUCCUCCUGGCAAGCAAAUCACAGACAGUGGAAAAAGAGAAGCAAUGGUGAAUGAAAAGCGUGACUCUGUCACAUUCAAUAAAGCAGAAAAAUGUGCGUUAAAAAUAA